rnacentral:lncRNA from 1 species
AGCCGAAAAUUAUGAGCAUGUCUAUCAUAACCCUGUAUAGUAAUUUUUACAUUGCAAAUAGUUGACUGCCUAGUGCUCUGGCUUUCAGAGUUGCAGUUUGGAAGAUUGAUCAUAGCAGCAUACACAGUGCCGUGCCAUUUGCCUUUGGGACGAGGCACGCAUCAACACGUAGUGCAGUAUUGGGCACAGAUCCAGCUAAAAGCCGCAAUCUCCAGUAGAUCUGGCUAAUAGCCAACAUCUCCAGUAGACCUCUGUUUAUAUUGGUGUCUACCAGCAUAAAGCUGUAAUGCUGUCGCGCAAAACUAUGUAUGAGCUCACUUCCUGAUUCUUUCACCGUCAUCCUCCCUCAGCAGCUGCUGCAUGCGUUCCAGAUCUUCCAUGACAGCUGCACGCGCAAGCUGCAGGUAGAUGCGAGCAAUGCACUUCUGGCCUGCCCGAUACACCACGCAGUCCCGCAGCCGCCCAGAAAGCUUCCCGCCACCUCCACACAG